rnacentral:rRNA from 1 species
CAUUACCGAGUUUACAACUCCCAAACCCCUGUGAACAUACCUUAAUGUUGCCUCGGCGGAUCAGCCCGCGCCCCGUAAAACGGGACGGCCCGCCAGAGGACCCAAACUCUAAUGUUUCUUAUUGUAACUUCUGAGUAAAACAAACAAAUAAAUCAAAACUUUCAACAACGGAUCUCUUGGUUCUGGCAUCGAUGAAGAACGCAGCAAAAUGCGAUAAGUAAUGUGAAUUGCAGAAUUCAGUGAAUCAUCGAAUCUUUGAACGCACAUUGCGCCCGCUGGUAUUCCGGUNGGCAUGCCUGUUCGAGCGUCAUUUCAACCCUCAAGCCCCCGGGUUUGGUGUUGGGGAUCGGCUCUGCCCUUCUGGGCGGUGCCGCCCCCGAAAUACAUUGGCGGUCUCGCUGCAGCCUCCAUUGCGUAGUAGCUAACACCUCGCAACUGGAACGCGGCGCGNNCAUGCCGUAAAACCCCAACUUCUGAAUGUUGACCUCGGAUCAGGUAGGAAUACCCGCUGAACUUAAGCAUAUCAA